AUGGAGUCUGUGCUCCACUGGGUUUUCCUUGUUGCUAUUUUAAAAGGUGUCCAGGGUGAGGUGCAGCUGGUGGAGUCUGGGGGAGACCUGGUGAAGCCUGGGGGGUCCCUGAGACUCUCCUGUGUGGCUUCUGGAUUCACCUUCAGUAGUUACUGGAUAAGCUGGGUCCGCCAGGCUCCAGGGAAGGGGCUGCAGUGGGUCUCAGUAAUUAACAAGGAUGGAAGCAGCACAUACCACGCAGACGCUGUGAAGGGCCGAUUCACCAUCUCCAGAGACAACGCCAAGAACACGCUGUAUCUGCAGAUGAACAGCCUGAGAGCCGAGGACACGGCCGUGUAUUACUGUGCACACACCCUUCUGCUCCAGAAUAACAGCUUUAUGACGAAGACGUCACAUAGGAUGCUGGUUCUGGGUCUUCAGAGUGUCUGUGGUGUGGGCUGCGGCCACUGUGCUGUCCUGUUUUGGCUGCUAUUUCCUUCAGGCCAGGCGUCCACACAGGCACUCCUUGCCUUCAGGGGGCUGUAUGUGAUCCGUGGCCAGAAU